CUCCUUGACCAUCCCAUCUAAGCACAUAGAGAUGAAAUCCAGCGCAAAUUUGAUGCUCUUCGUAACAGCUGUACUGUAAUCACAGACCUGGAGGAGCAGCUAAACCAGCUGACCGAGGACAACGCUGAACUCAACAACCAAAACUUCUACUUGUCCAAACAACUCGAUGAGGCUUCUGGCGCCAACGACGAGAUUGUACAACUGCGAAGUGAAGUGGACCAUCUCCGCCGGGA
rnacentral:lncRNA from 1 species